UUUAAAAAGUGCUUGACAAUCGGUAGCUACUGAAAGAUUUAUAUCAUUGGAAAUUUCGUGUUUUCCGUAACUCGGAAAUUUUUCCAUAAGCACUGGUCUUCCGUCUUGGAUUCGACGGCAGUUCGGCUUCGGCGACAGGAGCGGCGACAUCAGGAGCGACAUCAAAAUAAACAAGGCAGGUUCCUCAGAGCGACGAUGGAGAGAGAGAGAACGAUGCCCAUUGCGCGAUGCAAGCGAAUCAAGACAUCAACGAGUCUCUCCAAAGAUCCACUCCUC
rnacentral:misc_RNA from 1 species